ensembl:rRNA 5S_rRNA 5S ribosomal RNA
GGCCACAGCCAUAUCACACUGCGGCCAAGAUCGGUUACUCACUGAAGAUAAGCAGGGUUGAGCCUGGUCAGUACCUGAAUGGGAGACAACAUGGGGAAAAACUAGGUUGCUGUUGGAU